GAUGAACGCUGACAGAAUGCUUAACACAUGCAAGUCUUUGGCGAAGCUGUGCUCGCACAGCCUAGCCAAGGCGGACGGGUGAGUAACGCGUAAGGAACUUGCCCUGCAGUCAGGGAUAACAGACGGAAACGACUGAUAAGACCUGGUAAAGUCAGGCGGACUCAUGUCCAGCCUGAUGAAAAGAGAUGCUGCAGGAGAGCCUUGCGUCCUAUUAGCUUGUUGGUGGGGUAACGGCCCACCAAGGCGAUGAUAGGUAGCCGGCCUGAGAGGGUGGACGGCCACAAGGGGACUGAGAUACGGCCCUUACUCCUACGGGAGGCAGCAGUGGUGAAUAUUGGACAAUGGGGGCAACCCUGAUCCAGCAAUUCUGUGUGCACGAUGAAGGUUUUCGGAGUGUAAAGUGCUUUCAGCAGGGAAGAAAAAAAUGACGGUACCUGCAGAAGAAGCGACGGCUAAAUACGUG
rnacentral:rRNA from 1 species